UUCCGGUUGAUCCUGCCGGAGGUCACUGCUAUCGGGGUUCGAUUAAGCCAUGCGAGUUGAGAGGGUUCGGCCCUCGGCGUACUGCUCAGUAACACGUGGAUAACCUGCCCUAGGGGAGGGGAUAACCCCGGGAAACUGGGGAUAAUACCCUAUAGGUUACAGAUGCUGGAAUGCCCUGUAACCAAAAGCUCCGGCGCCCUAGGAUGGAUCUGCGGCCGAUUAGGUUGUUGUUGGGGUAACGGCCCAACAAGCCCGUAAUCGGUACGGGUUGUGGGAGCAAGAGCCCGGAGUUGGAUUCUGAGACACGAAUCCAGGCCCUACGGGGCGCAGCAGGCGCGAAACCUUUACAAUGCGGGCAACCGUGAUAAGGGAACCUCGAGUGCCUGUAAACGCAGGCUGUUCAGGUGUUUAAAACGCACCUGGAGAAAGGGCCGGGCAAGACCGGUGCCAGCCGCCGCGGUAAUACCGGCGGCUCGAGUGGUGGCCGCUUUUAUUGGGAUUAAAGCGUUCGUAGCUGGGUUGUUAAGUCUCUUGGGAAAUCUGGCGGCUUAACCGUCAGGCGUCUAAGGGAUACUGGCAAUCUUGGAACCGGGAGAGGUGAGGGGUACUUCGGGGGUAGGGGUGAAAUCCUGUAAUCCUCGAGGGGCCACCUGUGGCGAAGGCGCCUCACCAGAACGGCUUCGACAGUGAGGGACGAAAGCUGGGGGAGCAAACCGGAUUAGAUACCCGGGUAGUCCCAGCCGUAAACGAUGCGCGUUAGGUGUAUCGGUGACCACGAGUUACCGAGGUGCCGAAGGGAAACCGUGAAACGCGCCGCCUGGGAAGUACGGUCGCAAGGCUGAAACUUAAAGGAAUUGGCGGUGGAGCACCACAACGGGUGGAGCCUGCGGUUUAAUUGGAUUCAACGCCGGGAAUCACUAGUGCGGCCGCCUGCAGGUCGACCAUAUGGG
rnacentral:rRNA from 1 species